rnacentral:rRNA from 1 species
AGGCUUAACACAUGCAAGUCGAGGGGCAGCAUGGUCUUAGCUUGCUAAGGCCGAUGGCGACCGGCGCACGGGUGAGUAACACGUAUCCAACCUGCCGUCUACUCUUGGACAGCCUUCUGAACGGAAGAUUAAUACAAGAUGGCAUCAUGAGUCCGCAUGUUCACAUGAUUAAAGGUAUUCCGGUAGACGAUGGGGAUGCGUUCCAUUAGAUAGUAGGCGGGGUAACGGCCCACCUAGUCUUCGAUGGAUAGGGGUUCUGAGAGGAAGGUCCCCCACAUUGGAACUGAGACACGGUCCAAACUCCUACGGGAGGCAGCAGUGAGGAAUAUUGGUCAAUGGGCGAGAGCCUGAACCAGCCAAGUAGCGUGAAGGAUGACUGCCCUAUGGGUUGUAAACUUCUUUUAUAAAGGAAUAAAGUCGGGUAUGCAUACCCGUUUGCAUGUACUUUAUGAAUAAGGAUCGGCUAACUCCGUGCCAGCAGCCGCGGUAAUACGGAGGAUCCGAGCGUUAUCCGGAUUUAUUGGGUUUAAAGGGAGCGUAGAUGGAUGUUUAAGUCAGUUGUGAAAGUUUGCGGCUCAACCGUAAAAUUGCAGUUGAUACUGGAUAUCUUGAGUGCAGUUGAGGCAGGCGGAAUUCGUGGUGUAGCGGUGAAAUGCUUAGAUAUCACGAAGAACUCCGAUUGCGAAGGCAGCCUGCUAAGCUGCAACUGACAUUGAGGCUCGAAAGUGUGGGUAUCAAACAGGAUUAGAUACCCUGGUAGUCCACACGGUAAACGAUGAAUACUCGCUGUUUGCGAUAUACAGCAAGCGGC